rnacentral:rRNA from 1 species
UACGUAGGGCGCAAGCGUUGUCCGGAAUUAUUGGGCGUAAAGAGCUCGUAGGCGGCCAGUUGCGUCUGCUGUGAAAUCCCGGGGCUCAACCCCGGGCUUGCAGUGGAUACGGGCUGGCUGGAGGCAGGCAGGGGAGAACGGAAUUCCCGGUGUAGCGGUGAAAUGCGCAGAUAUCAGGAGGAACACCGGUGGCGAAGGCGGGUCUCUGGGCAGUAACUGACGCUGAGGAGCGAAAGCGUGGGGAGCGAACAGG